GACGAACGCUGGCGGCGUGCCUAAUACAUGCAAGUAGAACGCAGUUGCGAACGGGUGAGUAACGCGUAGGUAACUGCCGCAUAGCGGGGGAUAACUCUUGGAAACGAUAGCUAAUACCGCAUACUUUGAGAUGGACGUGCGUUGUAUUAGCUAGUUGGUGAGGUAAAGGGUCAACAAGGCGACGAUACUUAGCCGACGUGAGAGGGGGAUCUGCCACACUGGGACUGGUGCACGGCCCAGACUUCCACGGGAGGGAGCAGUAGGGAAUCUUCGGAAAUGGACGGCAGGCUGAACGAGCAAAGCCGGGUGAGUGAAGAAGGUUCUCGGGUCGUAAAGCUCUUUUGUUAGAGAAGCGGUAACUAAACAGAAAGGAACGGCUAACUCCGUGCCAGCCGCCGCGGUAAUAC
rnacentral:rRNA from 1 species